rnacentral:rRNA from 1 species
UGGUCCUACGGGGCGCAGCAGUGAGGAAUAUUGGUCAAUGGGCGGGAGCCUGAACCAGCCAAGUCGCGUGAGGGAAGACGGUUCUAUGGAUUGUAAACCUCUUUAGGCGGGGAGCAAUGCCGGGCACGCGUGCCCGGAGGGAGAGUACCCGCAGAAUAAGCAUCGGCUAACUCCGUGCCAGCAGCCGCGGUAAUACGGAGGAUGCGAGCGUUAUCCGGAUUUAUUGGGUUUAAAGGGUGCGUGGGCGGCUUUUUAAGU